rnacentral:rRNA from 1 species
UACGGAGGAUCCAAGCGUUAUCCGGAUUUAUUGGGUUUAAAGGGUGCGUAGGCGGCCUAUUAAGUCAGGGGUGAAAGACGGUAGCUUAACUAUCGCAGUGCCUUUGAUACUGAUGGGCUUGAAUACACUUGAGGUAGGCGGAAUGUGACAAGUAGCGGUGAAAUGCAUAGAUAUGUCACAGAACACCAAUUGCGAAGGCAGCUUACUAUGGUGUCAUUGACGCUGAGGCACGAAAGCGUGGGGAUCAAACAGG